UACGUAGGGUGCAAGCGUUGUCCGGAAUUAUUGGGCGUAAAGAGCUCGUAGGCGGUCUGUCGCGUCUGCUGUGAAAACUCAGGGCUUAACCCUGAGCUUGCAGUGGGUACGGGCAGACUAGAGUGCGGUAGGGGGAGACUGGAAUUCCUGGUGUAGCGGUGAAAUGCGCAGAUAUCAGGAGGAACACCGGUGGCGAAGGCGGGGUCUCUGGGCCGUAACUGACGCUGAGACGCGAAAGCGUGGGGAGCGAACAGG
rnacentral:rRNA from 1 species